rnacentral:rRNA from 1 species
UACGAAGGGGGCUAGCGUUGCUCGGAAUCACUGGGCGUAAAGGGUGCGUAGGCGGGUCUUUUAAGUCAGGGGUGAAAUCCUGGAGCUCAACUCCAGAACUGCCUUUGAUACUGAAGAUCUUGAGUUCGGGAGAGGUGAGUGGAACUGCGAGUGUAGUGGUGGAAUGCGUAGAUAUCAGCAGGAACACCCGUGGCGAAGGCGGCCCCCUGGGCCGAACCUGACGCUGAGGCGCGAAGGCUAGGGGAGCGAACGGG